UGAUACAGAUGACGGGGAAAGUGGUUAAUCGGUAAACAUGCAAGACCUUCAAGAAGAAUCAGUUGUCACAGAAAACAUAUGGGGUUAGAUAAGAUGACUAGAAGUAAUAAUUGAGAGAUAGUCAUCAAGAAGGACGGAAGUUAUCAACCAAGUUUCAAAGAUGGUUGGACAACGUAAAUCAUGGAAGGGAGAAAAGGAAAGCCAUCCCAGCGGGAGUACCACAACCAACAACCGCACUUUUAAACUCACAGAAUUUUCUUUGAUUUGAAACAGGGGCAUGGAAAUGUUAUUUAUGACAGAAAGAUAUGCUACAGGAGGAUUAUCAAACUGGGGCAGAAAAUUUUCUUGAAGUCGGGUACCCUUCUGAAGAACAUGAAGGUCAAUACAAGUGUUUUUAAAAAGAGAGAAAUAGUUUUCAGGAAAGAAACACCAGUUCUAAGAAAAGUAAUUUUUGGAGGAAUGAAACACCAGUUUUUAGGGAAGUGGUUUUUUUUUGAAGGAGGACAACACCAGUUUUUAGGGAAGCAGUUAUGAAGGAAGAUAAUUCAAGUUAGUGGGUAGGUAAAACAAAUUUCGAAGGAAAAUGGUUAAAAGAUAAAAAUCUUAGUAUUUCGAAUUUUUCACCUAAGAUAAAGAAAUCUUAGUCUGUUGAAUCUUUCACCUAAGAUAAAGAAAUCUUAGUCU
rnacentral:lncRNA from 1 species